rnacentral:rRNA from 1 species
CAAUAGCGUAUAUUAAAGUUGUUGCGGUUAAAAGCUCGUAGUUGGAUUUCUGUUGAGAGUGGUCGGUCUAUUCUUCGAAUUAGUAUCUGAUUCAGUCUCGGCAUCCUCUUGGAGCACGUUUGACGCUUCACUGCAGCAAACGGUAUCCAAGACUUUUACUUUGAGGAAAUUAGAGUGUUCACGGCAGGCAAUCGCUUUGAAUACAUUAGCAUGGGAUAAUAAUUUAGGAUCUUGAUUCUAUUUGUUGGUUCAUAGAACUGAGAUAAUGAUUAAUAGGGAUAAUUGGGGCGAUUCGUAUUAACGCGUCAGGAGGUGAAAUUCUUGGAUUGCGUUACGACGGACUACUGCGAAAGCAUUUGCCAAGGAUGUUUUCAUUGAUCAAGAACGAAAGUUAGGGGAUCGAAGACGAUUAGAU